rnacentral:rRNA from 1 species
GAUGAACGCUGGCGGCGUGCCUAAUACAUGCAAGUCGAGCGAACGGACGAGAAGCUUGCUUCUCUGAUGUUAGCGGCGGACGGGUGAGUAACACGUGGAUAACCUACCUAUAAGACUGGGAUAACUUCGGGAAACCGGAGCUAAUACCGGAUAAUAUUUUGAACCGCAUGGUUCAAAAGUGAAAGACGGUCUUGCUGUCACUUAUAGAUGGAUCCGCGCUGCAUUAGCUAGUUGGUAAGGUAACGGCUUACCAAGGCAACGAUGCAUAGCCGACCUGAGAGGGUGAUCGGCCACACUGGAACUGAGCCACGGUCCAGACUCCUACGGGAGGCAGCAGUAGGGAAUCUUCCGCAAUGGGCGAAAGCCUUACGGAGCAACGCCGCGUGAGUGAUGAAGGUCUUCGGAUCGUAAAACUCUGUUAUUAGGGAAGAACAUAUGUGUAAGUAACUGUGCACAUCUUGACGGUACCUAAUCAGAAAGCCACGGCUAACUACGUG